GCGGAGGAAAAGAAACCAACCGGGAUUGCCUUAGUAACGGCGAGUGAAGCGGCAAAAGCUCAAAUUUGAAAUCUGGUACCUUCGGUGCCCGAGUUGUAAUUUGGAGAGGGCAACUUUGGGGCCGUUCCUUGUCUAUGUUCCUUGGAACAGGACGUCAUAGAGGGUGAGAAUCCCGUGUGGCGAGGAGUGCGGUUCUUUGUAAAGUGCCUUCGAAGAGUCGAGUUGUUUGGGAAUGCAGCUCUAAGUGGGUGGUAAAUUCCAUCUAAAGCUAAAUAUUGGCGAGAGACCGAUAGCGAACAAGUACAGUGAUGGAAAGAUGAAAAGAACUUUGAAAAGAGAGUGAAAAAGUACGUGAAAUUGUUGAAAGGGAAGGGCAUUUGAUCAGACAUGGUGUUUUGUGCCCUCUGCUCCUUGUGGGUAGGGGAAUCUCGCAUUUCACUGGGCCAGCAUCAGUUUUGGUGGCAGGAUAAAUCCAUAGGAAUGUAGCUUGCCUCGGUAAGUAUUAUAGCCUGUGGGAAUACUGCCAGCUGGGACUGAGGACUGCGACGUAAGUCAAGGAUG
rnacentral:rRNA from 1 species